rnacentral:rRNA from 1 species
UGCCAGCAGCCGCGGUAAUACGGAGGGUGCAAGCGUUGUUCGGAAUCAUUGGGCGUAAAGCGGGUGUAGGCGGCUUGGCAAGUCGGAUGUGAAAGCCCAGGGCUCAACCCUGGAAUUGCAUUCGAAACUGCCUCGCUAGAGUCCCGGAGAGGGUGGCGGAAUUCCCGGUGUAGAGGUGAAAUUCGUAGAUAUCGGGAGGAACACCAGUGGCGAAGGCGGCCACCUGGGACGGAACUGACGCUGAUGAACGAAAGCUAGGGUAUCAAACAGGAUUAGAUA